GCCAUUUUCCUGCCUCAGCCUCCCCAGUAGCUGGGACUACAGGAGCCCGCCACCUCGCCCGGCUAAUUUUUUGUAUUUUUAGUAGAGACGGGGUUUCACCGUGUUAGCCAGGAUGGUCUUGAUCUCCUGACCUCGUGAUCCGCGCGCCUCGGUCUCCCAAAAUGCUGGGAUUACAGGCGUGUGCCACCGCGCCUGGCCUCAUCUCUUAAUUCGAGUAAUUUUACAUAAGCAACAAUGGGGUAAGGAGGAGAAAAGAAAGAAGGAAAAAUUGGAAAGAUAAAUGGGGUCUUUCCAGUGAAGCCUCCAGGCCUCCAGACUGGAACUUAUACCACUGAUUCUUCUGAAUCUUAGGCCUUUGGACUUGGACUGGAACUAAACCAUCAGCUCUUCUUGUUCUACCACUUGCAGACUGUAUGUCUUGGGACAUGUCAGCCUCUGUAAUCACAUCAACCCUACUCUGAGCCUCCAGAGACUGACAUUUUUUAAUUUAAUUAAGAGGACCUCUUGCCCUCUGGACUGAGAUGGAUUUCAACCAAUAGACUCAAACUGGAAGUGUCUCAAGGGAGAGUGAGGCAUGGAGGAAGAAUUCAAAGAGUGUUUCAGGCUCAAUUUUCCUACAUAAUUAAGAGUUUGGAAUUCGGGCAAUAUCAAGAACCACAUCUGUCCUGAAAUCAAUUAUCUCUGUUUGGAAUAUGGAUAUGAGAGAUCACUUUGCUGUGCUGUAAAUGAUCGAUUAAAAUACAUAUUUCUUUUGUCUCCUGGUACUUUCUUAUCCCAGUGCUGUGCUGAGCCAUAUUGGAGCCUAAGGCAAAAGGGACCAUCAGUAACACUAAUCCUGUCUUUAUUUAAAAUUUUGAUAUUUUGUUCAUCAUGGAUUUAUUUGCAUAAAUUUUAAUAUUGAAAUCUAUUGAUUAAAAUAUUAUGUAUCU
rnacentral:lncRNA from 1 species